CGAUAUCGCCGUCCGGGGCUAUACCAUCGACGUGGCGUGUGCGACGAUUUCGCCGCCGGAUGGGUGAGCCGAAUUGUGGUUUAUACCGGUUGAGCCGGAUUGUGGAUCAUACCGCUGGUUGACUCGAACCAUCGAUGUGGCAUGUGCGACAAUUUCGCCGUCGGGUGGCUAGGUCAUAGAGCGCAGUGAGCUGUGGAAGGUUGAGGUGCAUGUGUGAGUUCCUUCACCUCGAGCUGGACAGGGCGCGGAUUAUCUG
rnacentral:lncRNA from 1 species